rnacentral:rRNA from 1 species
ACACGUAGGGGGCAAGCGUUGUCCGGAAUCAUUGGGCGUAAAGGGCGUGUAGGCGGUUAAUUAAGUCAGGUGUGAAAGCCCGGGGCUUAACCCCGGGAUUGCACCUGAAACUGGUUAACUUGAGGGCAAGAGAGGGAAGCGGAAUUCCUAGUGUAGCGGUGAAAUGCGUAGAUAUUAGGAGGAACACCAGUGGCGAAGGCGGCUUUCUGGCUUGACCCUGACGCUGAGGCGCGAAAGCGUGGGGAGCAAACAGGAUUAGAUACCCUGGUAGUCCACGCCGUAAACGAUGGGUACUAGGUGUAGGAGGUAUCGACCCCUUCUGUGCCGCAGCAAACGCAUUAAGUACCCCGCCUGGGGAGUACGUUCGCAAGAAUGAA